rnacentral:rRNA from 1 species
GUAGGGAAUAUUGGACAAUGGGGGCAACCCUGAUCCAGCGACGCCGCGUGAGUGAUGAAGGCCUUCGGGUCGUAAAGCUCUGUUGCAGGGGAAGAACACAAUGACGGUACCCUGCUAGAAAGGAUCGGCUAACUUCGUGCCAGCAGCCGCGGUAAGACGAGGGAUCCUAGCGUUGUUCGGAAUUAUUGGGCGUAAAGCGGGUGCAGGUGGCUUGGUAAGUCAGAUGUGAAAGCCUGGGGCUUAACCCCAGAAGUGCAUUUGAUACUGCUGAGCUUGAGUGCUGGAGAGGCUAUUAGAAUUCCUGGUGUAGUGGUGAAAUACGUAGAUAUCAGGAGGAAUACCGGAGGCGAAGGCGGAUAGCUGGCCAGACACUGACACUCAGACCCGAAAGCGUGGGGAUCAAACAGGAUUAGAAACCCUUGUAGUCC